rnacentral:rRNA from 1 species
UGGGGAAUAUUGCACAAUGGCGCAAGCCUGAUGCAGCCAUGCCGCGUGUGUGAAGAAGGCCUUCGGGUUGUAAAGCACUUUCAGCGAGGAGGAAGGUGGUGAGCUUAAUACGCUCAUCAAUUGACGUUACUCGCAGAAGAAGCACCGGCUAACUCCGUGCCAGCAGCCGCGGUAAUACGGAGGGUGCAAGCGUUAAUCGGAAUUACUGGGCGUAAAGCGCACGCAGGCGGUUUGUUAAGUCAGAUGUGAAAAUCCCCGGGCUCAACCUGGGAACUGCAUUUGAAAACUGGCAAGCUAGAGUCUCGUAGAGGGGGGUAGAAUUCCAGGUGUAGCGGUGAAAUGCGUAGAGAUCUGGAGGAAUACCGGUGGCGAAGGCGGCCCCCUGGACGAAGACUGACGCUCAGGUGCGAAAA